rnacentral:rRNA from 1 species
ACAGAGGUCCCAAGCGUUGUUCGGAUUCACUGGGCGUAAAGGGUGCGUAGGCGGUCGGGUAAGUCUAACGUGAAAUCUCCGAGCCUAACUCGGAAACUGCGUCGGAUACUAUUCGGCUAGAGGAAUGGAGGGGAGACUGGAAUUCUCGGUGUAGCAGUGAAAUGCGUAGAUAUCGAGAGGAACACCAGUGGCGAAGGCGAGUCUCUGGACAUUUCCUGACGCUGAGGCACGAAAGCCAGGGGAGCAAACGGGAUUAGAUACCCCGGUAGUCCUGGCCCUAAAAGGUGCACGUUUGCUGUAAGAGGAAUCGACCCCUUUUGUGGCGAAGCUAACGCGUUAAACGUGCCGCCUGGGAAGUACGGCCGCAAGGUUA